rnacentral:rRNA from 1 species
GACGAACGCUGGCGGCAGGCUUAACAUAUGCAAGUCGAGCGCCCCGCAAGGGGAGCGGCGGACGGGUGAGUAACGCGUGGGAAUCUGCCCUUUGGUGUGGGACAACCACGGGAAACUGUGGCUAAUACCGCAUGAGCCCGAGAGGGGAAAGCCGCAAGGCGCCGAGGGAUGAGCCCGCGUCGGAUUAGCUAGUUGGUAGGGUAACGGCCUACCAAGGCGAUGAUCCGUAGCUGGUCUGAGAGGAUGAUCAGCCACACUGGGACUGAGACACGGCCCAGACUCCUACGGGAGGCAGCAGUGGGGAAUAUUGGACAAUGGGGGAAACCCUGAUCCAGCCAUGCCGCGUGAGUGAUGAAGGCCUUCGGUUGUUAAG